CUGAGUUACUACGUUAUUUAUGCUGAUAACCAUAGAAGAUUCUUAGUUAUGCUGCAGACCAAAUUUUCCGUGUGGUCAGGAAAGAUUAUAAACCAAGGAGCAAGAUUGUGCCAGGCCUGACACUGGAGUAUGAAACUCUCAUUGCAUUUAUGCUGGAAAUUUCAUUCAUGUGAAGAAAGAAAUGGGAAGAAGUAAAGUGAAAACAUCAAAAGUGGCAGUUGCAAAAUGGAACAUGGAAGCCAUAACACCUAUCACAGCACCACAGAAAUGGAAGAUAUGCCUAGUUCCUUGUCUUUUCUGGCAAUUGUGCACAAUACUUCAAAAUGACUCACAAUAUCAAAAAAAAAAAAAACCCUCAUUAUGAAGAAAAGCAAUGUCAGCCUUUGGAUUUCUGAGAAGGAAUUGCAAGAAAGGAAAUGAGGAAAAG